GACGAACGCUGGCGGCGUGCCUAAUACAUGCAAGUAGAACGCUGAAGGAGGAGCUUGCUUCUCUGGAUGAGUUGCGAACGGGUGAGUAACGCGUAGGUAACCUGCCUGGUAGCGGGGGAUAACUAUUGGAAACGAUAGCUAAUACCGCAUAAGAGUAGAUGUUGCAUGACAUUUGCUUAAAAGGUGCAAUUGCAUCACUACCAGAUGGACCUGCGUUGUAUUAGCUAGUUGGUGAGGUAACGGCUCACCAAGGCGACGAUACAUAGCCGACCUGAGAGGGUGAUCGGCCACACUGGGAAUGAGACACGGCCCAGACUCCUACGGGAGGCGGCAGUAGGGAAUCUUCGGCAAUAGACGGAAGUCUGACCGAGCAACGCCGCGUGAGUGAAGAAGGGUGUCGGAUCGUAAAGCUCGGUUGUAAGAGAAGAACGAGUGUGAGAGUGGAAAGUUCACACUGUGACGGUAGCUUACCAGAAAGGGACGGCUAACUACGUG
rnacentral:rRNA from 1 species